rnacentral:lncRNA from 1 species
UCCAGCUAUUCAUGACCAAUAUUUAAAGAUAAAUGCUUGAGACAACUAAGGUAAAACCAUCAAAAUUCAGUUUCUAGAAUUCUGAUGAACCUAAUGACAAAAUAAAUGAUGGUAAGAAUUUCGGAGCAUCAGGAUGGGUAAGAUUUGUGCUACCCUGAAAAGAUGUAUUCUCUACUUUGUGCAGAAAUAUGCCUCUCCAUUCUCUAGCAGAGUAAUGAAGGAGGAGUGGAUUCGUAAUAUCCUUGAAGAACCGCAUCUUGAACUCCUAGCGAUAGCCCUGGUCCCCACAACUCCAACAACAUCCUUACCAACAUUUAAUGAGAAGAUACUUCUCUAGAAGAAUGAAACUGAAGAACAUGACUGCCUUACUAAUAAAACUUUGGAAGACUCACAUU